rnacentral:rRNA from 1 species
GAUGAACGCUGGCGGCGUGCUUAACACAUGCAAGUCGAACGGAAAGGCCAGUGCUUGCACUGGUACUCGAGUGGCGAACGGGUGAGUAACACGUGGGUGAUCUGCCCUGCACUUCGGGAUAAGCCUGGGAAACUGGGUCUAAUACCGGAUAGGACAAUGGUUUGGAUGCCGUUGUGGAAAGUUUUUUCGGUGUGGGAUGAGCUCGCGGCCUAUCAGCUUGUUGGUGGGGUAAUGGCCUACCAAGGCGUCGACGGGUAGCCGGCCUGAGAGGGUGUACGGCCGGAUUGGAACUGUGCGACGGCCCAGACUCCGACGGUAGGCAGCAGGGGGGAAUAUUGGACAAUGGGCGCAAGUCUGAUGGAGCGACGCCGCGUGGGGGAUGACGGCCUUCGGGUUGUAAACUCCUUUCGCUAGGGACGAAGCGUAUUUGUGGCGGUACCUGGAGAAGAAGCACCGGCUAACUACGUG